GAAGUAGGUAGUUUAACCUUCGGGGGGACGCUUACCACUUUGUGGUUCAUGACUGGGGUGAAGUCGUAACAAGGUAGCGCUAGGGGAACCUGGCGCUGGAUCACCUCCUUAUACGAUGAU
rnacentral:rRNA from 1 species